rnacentral:misc_RNA from 1 species
AACGCAUCUUGCGCUCUGGGGUAUUCCUCAGAGCAUGCCUGUUUGAGUGUCUUUUAAUUCUCAUACCCAAAAUUUUUUGUUUAUUCAAAUUUUCUUGGGGCAUGGAUCGUGGCUGCAAGACGAAUUAAAGCAUAUCGUCUCGGCUGAAAUUGAUGAGCGGACUUUAUCGUGUAAAAAGCGAUAACUCAGAGUUGCUUUUAUGUGUGUGUAUGUGUGUAUGCGUAUUGUAUCUAUGAUAAACACCAAUAAAAAAGGCAUUGUGAGGGAUCGAGUUCGGCGUGAUAGGAUAUUAUCAUUACGUUGAGCAUUAAAUCGAUCAAUCUUGAUUGCUUUUGGCUGUUUAUUUUUACAAGUCUGCGACAGAUGUACUAACAUAUUAUGGGUCCUCUGAGCAUGUUUGCUACGAACAUGUAUUAUAUAUAUAUACAAUAUCCAAUAAUGACCUCAAAUUAGGUAGGACUACCCGCUGAACUUAA